rnacentral:rRNA from 1 species
UGGGGAAUCUUGCACAAUGGGCGAAAGCCUGAUGCAGCAACGCCGCGUGCGGGAAGACAGCCCUAGGGUUGUAAACCGCUUUCAGCAGGGAAGAAACUGACGGUACCUGCAGAAGAAGAUGCGGCCAACUACGUGCCCAGCAGCCGCGGUGACACGUAGGCAUCAAGCGUUAUCCGGAUUUAUUGGGCGUAAAGAGCUCGUAGGCGGUUCGGUAAGUCGGGUGUGAAAACUCUGGGCUCAACCCAGAGAGGCCCACUCGAUACUGCUGUGACUAGAGUGCGGUAGGGGAGCGGGGAAUUCCUGGUGUAGCGGUGAAAUGCGCAGAUAUCAGGAGGAACACCAGUGGCGAAGGCGCUGCUCUGGGCUGUAACUGACGCUGAGGAGCGAAAGCAUGGGUAGCAAACAGGAUUAGAUACCCUGGUAGUCCAUGCCGUAAACGUUGGGCACUAGGUGUGGGUCUCAACC